GCCAGACUCCUACGGGAGGCAGCAGUGGGGGAUAUUGCACAAUGGGGGGAACCCUGAUGCAGCGACGCCGCGUGGGUGAAGAAGCGCCUCGGCGCGUAAAGCCCUGUCAGCAGGGAAGAAAAUGACGGUACCUGACUAAGAAGCCCCGGCUAACUACGUGCCAGCAGCCGCGGUAAUACGUAGGGGGCAAGCGUUAUCCGGAUUUACUGGGUGUAAAGGGAGCGUAGGCGGCCAUGCAAGUCAGAAGUGAAAACCCGGGGCUCAACCCUGGGAGUGCUUUUGAAACUGUGCGGCUAGAGUGUCGGAGGGGUAAGUGGAAUUCCUAGUGUAGCGGUGAAAUGCGUAGAUAUUAGGAGGAACACCAGUGGCGAAGGCGGCUUACUGGACGAUGACUGACGCUGAGGCUCGAAGGCGUGGGGAGCAAGCAGGAUUAGAUACCCCAGUAA
rnacentral:rRNA from 1 species